UACGUAGGGGGCAAGCGUUGUCCGGAAUCAUUGGGCGUAAAGCGCGUGUAGGCGGCUUGGUAAGUCCGGUGUGAAAACUUGGGGCUCAACCCCAAGCGUGCACCGGAUACUGCCUCGCUCGAGUCCGGGAGAGGGAAGCGGAACUCCUAGUGUAGCGGUGAAAUGCGCAGAUAUUAGGAAGAACACCGGUGGCGAAGGCGGCUUCCUGGAACGGUACUGACGCUGAGACGCGAAAGCGUGGGGAGCGAACAGG
rnacentral:rRNA from 1 species